rnacentral:lncRNA from 1 species
CCCGCCCCCCAACCGCAGGCUCCCGCGCGCCACCCCGAGGGGACGGGCGCCACCUCCUGCUACGCGGCACCCGGUCCCGUCAACCGCCCAACGGCUGAGGAGUGCGGCAGCGCGCCAGAGACUGGCGGGCAGCUCCGCCCGCGGCCGGGAUGCACUAGGCAAAGCCAGCUGGGCUCCUGAGUCCGGUGGGUACUUGGAGAACUUACUACGUCUAGCUGGAGGAUUGUAAAUGCACCAAUCAGCAUGCUGUGUCUAGCUCAAGAACUCAAGCUCCAUGAGGAGAUGUUUCAUUGUCGAGAGCAGUCAUGAUGGCCUGCACUCCACACAAUGCAACAGAGUGAAAGAGCAGGUUCUGCUUCUUUGGUGUAGUCCUGAAGCUUCCUAAGAAACUUCACAUCAGGUGAUGGAUAGGAGCAACCCUGUAAAACCAGCCUUAGACUAUUUUUCAAACACUGCGCACAAUACCACAUUUCCCAGCAUUCCUUGCAUCUGGAUAUAGCUGUAUUCAAAUAAGCCGUGUGAAACUUCUGGGAUGGCUCCUUAAGUGCAGUUGACUCAUUAGGGAGGGAGGUGGAAAGCAGGAGUAUAACUACAUUCAAGUGUCUGCUCUGUUGCUGUAGGAGAAAAUCCGUGCUGUAGCACAUCAAAGUUUUUCCAAAUUUUAUUUCUUAGGACAUCUUUGGGGUUUAUGUAAGUAUUAAAUAGAGCUCCCCUAGCCCAGGCUUACACAGGACAUAUGUCUAGUGUCAUAGGUCUGUAUGCUUAAAUUAUAGCAGAAAGUUUGCUAAAAUUUAAGUGAAGUAAUGUUGAAGGUUGAAUCAUUUGAAACAAACUACCUGCACCAAAAUAUUCUUUAGUGUACUGAUUUCUAUCCCACCCCUAAUGAGGCUGAAUUUUAAUCUUAACUCUGCUUGUAAUUAGGUAUUUAUAUGUGUCUGUUAUUCAUUUUUUAACAAGAUGUCUCUUCAGAGAUAAAAUGAGGGUAGCAAAAAAUAAUUUUAAUAGCCAUUUAUAUGGCUUUGAUAACAAUUGUCUGUUCUACUUAUCUGACUGAUUCUAAACUCUAAAGGUUAUUUUACAGUUAGUAAAUUACAUAAUUUUUAUGCAACAAUUUGCCUGCCAGGAUUCCUAUAAUACUUGUCAGCUAUCAGUAGGUAUAAGCCUGUUAGCCUCUAAUGUGAAGAUAAUAUCUCUUUAAGUUAUAACGCAUUUACAAUUGUUACAGUUUCUAAGGUCUUUUUGAAGUUAGAGAUGCAUCUGAGGAUGAUGGUUUUCAAGGAGAUAGCUCUUUGACAAAAAAUGACAAUAUGGGACUUAGUGUUAUAUUAAUUUACACAUUAUGUUUUUGCUAUAAAGAGAUAAAAGGUGUGCUAUACUACCUAUCAAUUACUGUAUGCCACAUUUUGUAGAAUUGUUUUCCAUAUUAUUGUAGAAUGUGGCACUUAAAUAGUAUCAUGAAAAAAGUUUAUUCAAGAAAUAAGACAUUAAUGAAAUAUAAUUAAUAUAUAAAGACUAUAUUUAAAAAUAAUUAUGUAUUUCUAAUCCUAAACUUUUUAAGGUGACAUUAUUUUUUUCUGUGAUAUAAUUUCAGUUGAGAAGAACUUUAAAUUUUAAUAAGAUUUUAAGAUGAUUCAGUAAUGUUAACAUACUUUUCUUCUGUAAAUUUUGUUAACAAUUUAGCUGCAUUAAUUAAAUAUUUAUGUAGCUAAUUUUAAUAGUGAUAUUUUAAUACAAUUCUUAAUUUUACUCCUGGCUUUCAAUCAUUCAUAUAUGUUUUUAAAAAUUGCUUUUUCCAUUGCUUUACUUCUUAAUUACUUUUAUCAAAGUCUUAAUUGUGUGUGGUUGAUUUUAAAAGUUAAAUAUUUCUAUAAGAUUUAUAAAGACAAACUGGGUACAGUGACUCACACCU